rnacentral:rRNA from 1 species
AUUGAACGCUGGCGGCAGGCCUAACACAUGCAAGUCGAGCGGAUGAAGGGAGCUUGCUCCUGGAUUCAGCGGCGGACGGGUGAGUAAUGCCUAGGAAUCUGCCUGGUAGUGGGGGAUAACGUCCGGAAACGGGCGCUAAUACCGCAUACGUCCUGAGGGAGAAAGUGGGGGAUCUUCGGACCUCACGCUAUCAGAUGAGCCUAGGUCGGAUUAGCUAGUUGGUGGGGUAAAGGCCUACCACGGCGACGAUCCGUAACUGGUCUGAGAGGAUGAUCAGUCACACUGGAACUGAGACACGGUCCAGACUCCUACGGGAGGCAGCAGUGGGGAAUAUUGGACAAUUGGCGAAAGCCUGAUCCAGCCAUGCCGCGUGUGUGAAGAAGGUCUUCGGAUUGUAAAGCACUUUAAGUUGGGAGGAAGGGCAGUAAGUUAAUACCUUGCUGUUUUGACGUUACCAACAGAAUAAGCACCGGCUAACUUCGUG